CGCUUAACACAUGCAAGUCGAACGGCAGCAUGUUUGUGUAGCAAUACACAAAUGAUGGCGAGUGGCGGACGGGUGAGUAAUGCAUAGGGAUCUACCUUGUAGAGGGGGAUAACGUUAGGAAACUGGCGCUAAAACCGCAUAUUACUCUGAGGAGGAAAGCAGCCUGUUAAAGGGUUGUACUAUAAGAGGAACCUAUGUCAGAUUAGCUAGUUGGUAGGGUAAAGGCCUACCAAGGCGACGAUCUGUAGCUGGUCUGAGAGGAUGGACAGCCACACUGGGACUGAGACACGGCCCAGACUCCUACGGGAGGCAGCAGUGGGGAAUAUUGGACAAUGGGGGCGACCCUGAUCCAGCGAUGCCGCGUGUGUGAAGAAGGCCUUCGGGUUGUAAAGCGC
rnacentral:rRNA from 1 species